AUAGGAAUCACCUGGAGAUUUUGUUAAAACUCAGAUUCUGAUUCAGUAGUUCUGUGGUGAGACCUGAGAGUCUGCAUUUCUAACAAGCUCUCAGGUGAUACUGUU
rnacentral:pre_miRNA from 1 species